rnacentral:rRNA from 1 species
GGAAGUAAAAAUCGUAACAAGGUUUCCGUAGGUGAACCUGCGGAAGGAUCAUUAACAUUAAUUUACUACACACUGUUUUUUUACAACAAAACAAAUCUAUCUAAAAACAAUUCUUUACAAGAAAUUCUUAAAACUUUCAACAACGGAUCUCUUGGUUCUCGCAUCGAUGAAGAACGCAGCGAAAUGCGAUACGUAAUACGAAUCGCAGCUCUCGGAAUCAUCGAAUCUUUGAACGCACAUUGCACCAUUGGGUAUUCCCAAUGGUAUGCUUGUUUGAGCGAAUACUUCCCUAAUCCUCACGGAUUGUAUUGUGUUUGCACGAAAAUAAUGACGACAGUACUCUACAAAACGGUACCGUCAGUACACUCAUUUUUUUUCCUCAAAUCAAGUAGGACUACCCGCUGAACUUAAGCAUAUCAAAAGGCCGGAGG